GACGAACGCUGGCGGCGUGCUUAACACAUGCAAGUCGAACGAAGAGCGAUGGAGGCUUGCUUCUAUAAUUCUUAGGGGCAAACGGGUGGGUAACGCGUAUUCAACCUCCCCUUCAAGGGGGGACACCGGUGGGAAAGGACUCCUAAUACCGCAUACGAUCUAAUCUCGCCAUCGGGGAAAGAGGAAAGGGGGCCUCUACAUGUAAGCUAUAACUGAGGGAGGGGAUUGCGUCUGAUUAGCUAGUUGGGGGGGUAACGGCCCACCAAGGCGAUGAUCAGUAGCCGGUCUGAGAGGAUGAACGGCCACAUUGGGACUGAGACACGGCCCAGACUCCUACGGGAGGCAGCAGUGGGGAAUCUUCCGCAAUGGACGAAAGUCUGACGGAGCAACGCCGCGUGAGUGAUGACGGCCUUCGGGUUGUAAAGCUCUGUUAAUCGGGACGAAAGGCCUUCUUGCGAAUAGUGAGAAGGAUUGACGGUACCGGAAUAGAAAGCCACGGCUAACUACGUG
rnacentral:rRNA from 1 species